rnacentral:rRNA from 1 species
GACGUAGGGCGCGAGCGUUGUCCGGAUUUAUUGGGCGUAAAGAGCUCGUAGGCGGCUUGUCGCGUCGACUGUGAAAGCCCGCAGCUCAACUGCGGAACUGCCUUGGAUACUGCCGACCUUGAGUCCCGGAGGGGUGGCUGGAAUUCCUGGUGUAGCGGUGAAAUGCGUAGAUAUCAGGAGGAACACCGGAGGUGUAGACGGGUCACUGGACGGGUACUGACGCUGAGGCACGAAAGCGUGGGGAGCAAACAGG